UACGUAGGGGGCGAGCGUUGUCCGGAAUUAUUGGGCGUAAAGAGCUCGUAGGCGGCUUGGCAAGUCACGUGUGAAAUCUCCAGGCUCAACCUGGUGAUGCCACGUGAUACUGCCAUGGCUUGAGUCCGGUAGGGGACCAUGGAAUUCCUGGUGUAGCGGUGAAAUGCGCAGAUAUCAGGAGGAACACCAGUGGCGAAGGCGGUGGUCUGGGCCGGUACUGACGCUGAGGAGCGAAAGCGUGGGGAGCGAACAGG
rnacentral:rRNA from 1 species